AACGAUCUGGGGAUCUGGCACACAGAAGGAAGAAGCAGAACAUUGCUGAUGUUGAAACAUCACCCAUCUGAAGGAACUUAAAUGGAGGAAGCACCUGAAAGUUAACACUUAGAAACGGUCACUCUGAGCAGGACAUUCCUUUCUCCCCAGCAGUGCAAAGAGCAGUGCAGAGCCUAAGUCCUACCAAAACCCAGUGAGACCAGCCCUGACAUCUAAGCACAAGCCUGUAUUGGUAGAGGAAAUCUCUGUCUCCCUCCUGGAGAUUAGUUCUGUCUAAUCCACUGCAAACAGAAACUGUGUGAGCUUCACACACCUUGAGAUACCUCAGAAGGGACUGUUUCUUCUCACCUGUGGAUGAAAUGAUUCUCUUCCAGAUAUUUACAGCCACAGGCAAUAUCCCUAGCUAUGUUCAGCAGGUCCUGCAUUGUUAGCGUGGAUGGUUGAUUCUGGAAAAGGACACACAGAAAAUGGUGAGGGAAGAAUAGUGGAGUAGAAGAAUAUAAUUCAGGCAGGGGAUAAUCAGCAAGGGACAGAAGAAGGGAAAGGGAGAGACAUUACAUACAGGGUGGGGGAAGGGUUAAAUGAGUCAGGAGCAAAGAGGAACAUAAGCAGAUCAAAGUAAAGAGUUAGAAAAUGAGUAAACUCUUAUUUUUGCCACAAAACUUUCAGAAGAUUUCACUUCUGAGCACAGUGCAUGAGUGCAAGCUGGAGAGAGAUUUAUGGCCUGGCCUGAAUAGCCUGGUAAAGGGGGUGGGAGAGAACUAUUCACUACUGGUGUUGGACUUCGUGAAAUCAAAAGACAAGCAGGUUUAAAAGGUGAGAUGGAAGAGAAAAAAAACCACCCGCUUUUAAAGAGUGAGUUAAAUUACCAACAGAAAUUAGCACAUGAGCUCAAAGAGAGAGCAAAGAUGCAUGAGUGCACAUCUCUGCACCAGCAGUCAGUAUUCAUCAACUUAUCCAUUCUUGUGGAAGGACAGAGAUUACCCUCAGGAGCAGUAUGCAAAAAUGGGAUGCCUUACCACAGGACUCCGGGACUGGUACUAGCCCUUCACCAUCUGCACUUCCCUAACUAAGAACAAUAAAGAAGUCUUUCUCCAGGAGCCCUGCGUAUUUUCAUCCCAUCAUUUAUUUCCCCAUAGGGCAACUUCCUUGGUGUUUCUGCAGGAACUUCUGUAUUGCUCUCGGGAAGGGUGGGGAGAAAUUAACUACACUGCUGAUCAAAAGCCUGAGAGAUAUAAAAAAAAUUGUUCUUUUUAAAGCUGCUUUUGUUUCUGGAUGCUGUUAUCACUGUAAUUUCUCAUGCUCAAACCACAUAACACACACUACAGCCAUUGAGCACUAUUUUUAUUGGCUAGGCUAAUUAUUGUACAAAGCUCUUGGACAUCUGCCAGGGAGAAUUAUUAUAGUUACAAAGUAGGCAUUUCUGGAGAGGAGAUGAAAGGCAAGGAAGAGAAAUAGCAUUACAGACUUCCAGACCUUAUCUCUGCUCUGGGAUUCCUCUGUCAGAAGACUGUGAUGGACAUGCAUUUUCUCUGCAGCCAGGGAAACUUGUGAAAUACAUUAAUGAUGAGGCUAGUUCUGUUCUCAGAAAAGGUGUACAGGGACAUUUUUUUUGAGUACUAAGGGGACUUCAACUAUUGUAUUUGCUAUCUGCUAGCAUACCAGCUAACAUAGCAGCAGGUUUGUUUUCACAUGAUAUUUGAAAAGUAACUGUUCUUUACAUUACAACUAUACCUGAUAUUCAAAUAAGAGUACUUAUUAUUCUCUGCUGCCCACAGACUUCAUCUACUCACAGAAAUUGUACCACUUUCACUAUAAAUGCCAAAAAUAAAGAUAUACAAACUC